rnacentral:snRNA from 1 species
UUGCUUUGGCAGCACAUUUGCCAAAAUUGGAAUGAUGUGCAGGUUUGUUUGUCCUCUGUGCAAGGAUGACACAAAUUAAUGAAGUGUUCCACACUUUA